UGCCAGCCGCCGCGGUAAUACGGAGGGUGCAAGCGUUAUCCGGAUUCACUGGGUUUAAAGGGUGCGUAGGCGGGUAGGUAAGUCAGAGGUGAAAUCCUGGAGCUUAACUCCAGAACUGCCUUUGAUACUAUCUAUCUUGAAUAUGGUGGAGGUAAGCGGAAUAUGUCAUGUAGCGGUGAAAUGCAUAGAUAUGACAUAGAACACCUAUUGCGAAGGCAGCUUACUACGCCUAUAUUGACGCUGAGGCACGAAAGCGUGGGGAUCAAACAGGAUUAGAUACCCUGGUAGUCCACGCCCUAAACGAUGAUUACUCGACGUAUGCGAUACACAGUAUGCGUCUGAGCGAAAGCAUUAAGUAAUCCACCUGGGAAGUACGACCGCAAGGUUGAAACUCAAAGAAAUUGACGGGA
rnacentral:rRNA from 1 species